rnacentral:tRNA from 3 species
GGCUCCGUAGCUCAGUUGAAUAGAGCAAUGGUUUCCGGUACCAUGUGUCAUGGGUUUGAGUCCCAUCGGAGUCA